AACUAGCUGGGUGUUAGGGGAGUGUCUAUGUAACUAGCUGGUGGGAGGAGCUAUAAACUAGCUGGGUGUUAGGGGCAGUGAUAGGGGAGUGUCUAUGUAACUAACUGGUGGAAAGAGCUAUAAACUAGCUGGGUGUUAGGGGCAGUGAUAGAGGAGUGUCUAUGUAACUAGCUGGAUGGGAGGAGCUAUAAAGUA